rnacentral:rRNA from 1 species
AUACGGAGGGUGCGCGCGUUAAUCGGAAUUACUGGGCGUAAAGCGCGCGUAGGCGGCUAAGUAAGUCUGAUGUGAAAGCCCUGGGCUCAACCUGGGAAUUGCACUCGAUACUGCUUUGCUAGAGUAUGGUAGAGGGUAGUGGAAUUCCUGGUGUAGCGGUGAAAUGCGUAGAUAUCAGGAGGAACAUCAGUGGCGAAGGCGGCUACCUGGACCAAUACUGACGCUAAGGUGCGAAAGCGUGGGGAGCAAACAGGAUUAGAAACCACAGUAGUCC